CACCCUGACGAGCCCUGGGGCUGAUGGCCAGCGAGCCUCUGUCCUGAGCCCAGCUGGGACAACUUCCCUUGUACGUCUGCUGACGCCUCAAAUGCAACCUGUCCAGAGGGAAGCAGCCCCGUGUGGCGGACAGACAGACUGCCGGAAGAGCUCCAGGCCCCCUCCCUGGGCCACUAUCCUCUGCGCUGUGGCUCUGUCGCUCUUCUCGGGCAGAAGAGGAAUCCAUCCUGUGGAUCUGGGCGGGCUGAGGGAGUCGGUUUGGCCAACCGUGUGGUGCUGAGCCUGGCCUGCGGGGGCACGAGAGGCCACGCGACCGCAGCCACCCAAGUCAGUGGCGAGGAGGUCCGCCAGCUGGCGGGAGCAGCGGAGCCCGCCGGCUGACCACGCCCUCGGCACAGACCACCGGGGACUGGCGUUGAAGCCGGGAAGCCGGGCCUGGGAGAGCCGGUAGCUGACACACCUUCGGCACACCCCUGUGCUGCCCCAGACCUGUCCCCUCCAACGUGGGGAAGCUGGAUGGCAGGCUCCACACCCCGUCGCCCCUCACCCUAAGGCCUGCACAUUCAGUGCCAGCGAAGGCUCUGUCCGCAUCAGCAGGUCUCGUCUCCCGCCGGGACAACCUCUGGCCCCGUCGGCUCUGGCUGAGCCAGUGUCUCAUCUGCCCGGCUUCCAGGGCCCCUUCCCGUGGCAAGCUCUGGGGCUCUACAGAGACCCUUAUCAUACGGGAAAUCCUUCGAAGAUUUCCUUUCGAGCGGAAGUGUAUUGUGUCCGGCCUGGUAUAUACAUCCCACCGCUAACCAGCUGCGGGGCACCUCCACUGACCUGGUGGGGCCGGGCUCCAAUGGCACCUUCUCCUGGAAGUCCUCCUGGAUUCCACACACACCCCCCUCCCCCAGCUCAGACAGGGUGACUCUGUCCCAAGGGACGCACUCUUCGCCCUUCCUGGUUGCCAUAACUUUGGGCAAAGAUCAUGAUUUUCCUGUCUGUCUCACUCAAACGGGAACCCCCGGGAGGUUCUGAACGGUACUGGGGUGGGACAGAGAACACAGGAUGGGGAGCAAGACAGGCAAAGUAGUCGCAUCCUGGUCUGUCCUGCUGUGUGGCCAUGGGAAAGGCAGCCUGUCUGUUAAGAUGCAGCCCGGGAAAGCACAGGGGCCUGAGGCAGGGCCUGGCACCCAGUGGGUGCUAAGUUAAUCACUGUAGAAGGAGGGAUGCAACUCGGGGUAGUUAUCUAUUACUGGGGUAAGGCCACGGGUCUGGUUAAGUGGCUGAGUCCACGCUAAAAUCUGGUUCUUGCUGCCCAGAGUAGGGCUGUGGAACCGGCGAGAAGCCCCACAUCCCGCUCCAGCCGGCCCCCUCCCUGCGCGGUGCGAGCACCUCAGCCCUCGCCAAGGAACUGUCAUCACUCAGUCCUGCGGGUGCUCCCGGGGGUGGCUUAGCUGGGGCUGCUGCUGGCCCGGGACCAAGCGGGCAGGUGGGGGCGCAGGGAGUGGUCCCCUCGGCCCAGGGCAGAGCCAGCAGGCAUUCAGGUGGGGAGGAGAGGGCUCCAGGUAAUGGGAGGACCUACUGGGAGACACCUCUGCUCCGUCAUCCAUGAGGCAGAGUCAUUGAUAACUUCACCCGGGUUCCAGGCUAGAGGCGGGGGUGGGGGGGGGGAGCGGGGAGCAGGGGGAGGCGGCCACCGUCCAGGGGACUGGCCCCAAACGGGACGAGGGCUGCACCUCCCUGGGCGGCGUUCAUUACUUGGCUCACUGCUCCGAGCAGCCGCAGCAAAGAGGGAUGAUCCUAAUCUCUGUUUUACAGAUGGGGAGCCCACCUGCAGAGGCAUCCACGAACCUCCCCAAGUCCACGCGUGGGGACAGUGCCUCCCUUAUGGGACAGUCGUGACGAUUAAAUAAGAGACGCCGUGUGCCCAGCAGAUGACAAGAACUCGUGAGGCCACUCACCCUACGGCUGUGGCUACCGGCCAGCACUGAGCAGAUGGUGAAACUGAGGCUUCCGCUCCAGGCAAGAGUGAAGGCAAGAAGCAUGGCUUUCUACCCAGAAAGACACUCUCCCGCCCUUCGAUGAGCCAUUCAUCCUCGCCAGAUCCCCGGAGAAGAGGACACAGCCAGUCCUGACAUGCCAAGGUGAUGUAAAUCUCAUGCGAGGCAGCACAGCGGCCAGCCCACUCUGCCCCACGCCCGGCCCACUUGUCUGAACAGGGACGUGGCCGGGACAGCUGGGCGAUGCCAAGGAGGCGACGCAAAACGAGAAGCCUCACUGUAUGGGUUGGGGAGUAGACACAGGAGGGCAGCGCAGCUGUGGCAGGACUAAGCUGUGGUUGCUAAGCUACCAACAGGUAACGGCAGCUUACGAUGUGCCCCAUGUGCCUGGAAGCAGCCUCCCCGUAACCUUAUGUUGAUAUCCUCGUAAUUCUGCCCAGGUUACCAAGGAGAGCUCAGAGAAGCUGAUUAAACUGCCUGAGGGCACACAGCCCCUAAGUCGCCGAGCCGGGCUUUGAGCCCAGCUGCCCGGCUGGAGCACAGGCUGGCAAUCACCCUCCCAUACUGUUCGAGGCAGGGGCUCCAUGCCAGGUCCCUGGACUAAGACAGAUCCCAUCCCCAGCAUCUGGGGGAGACUAGGAAUGAGAGUCUUCUCCCACCUUCCUGGGGAAGAUGCCCAGGAAUGCUCCCUCUGGCCAUCAAGCUGGGAUCGGGGAGGUGCAGGGAUGGGGGCUGGGUAUAUUCUGGAACAUCAGGUUUUCAUACAAUGCCUUUAGACGCGCAGUUUCCUUGCGGUCAGGGCUGAGAUCUCCUGGGACCGUGAGGCCCCAAAUUCCCUCAAUUUCUGGCCCACAAGGAGGGAAUAAGGCAGGACUGGGGCCCAAACCAGGGCUGCGCCCUCAAGGGUUUUGUCGCUUAAAGGACAACAGUCGCGAGAGCAGCCUCACGCUACCAUGCCUGCACCGUGUCCCCCCCUCCCCCAAUCCCGAGUGGCACUGCAGACGUGAAGAAAUCAAGGGACAGAGGGACAGAGGCCUUGGGCCCUUCUGACCGUCACACCCAGGCUCUGAUCCUCUGCUCCCCCAGCAGGGCUUGUGAACCUGACAAAGGACUCCAGGCUGGUGGAGAGAGAACCCGAGAGGACCCCGAGGUCCCAGGGGGUGGGCAUGGUAGGGCUCAGGGACAGCAAGCCAUGUGGGGGCUCUCGGGAGGGGACAGAGAAGAAACGGGGCUGCCCCCGAGGGGCCACACGGAAGUUCUGUCCCCCAGAGAGCAAAAGUGAGGCCAAGGUAGCAACAGGUGUGCCGGGGCCUGGAGCCCUGAUGCACAGGGCCCCUACUGCGUGCUGGGGAGGGAAGACCACCCCCACAGCCCCGCAACCCUGCGGCCCUGCCAGCGGAGUUUAGCCUCCUGAGGUUCACAGGGGGCAGUGACUUGCUGGAGUCACAGAACCUGCCCUCAGCAGAGCUGCGAUUCGAACCCGGGUCUGCGUCUCUCUAAGGGAGUGUGCUGCCACUGAGCUGUCCAGGCAGCAAGAGGUCUUGGUGGGGACAGGAGGCCUAGGAUGCCCGGGCUAUGGGAGCAGGGGGCAUGGAGCCGUGCCCCUCAGAAGUCCCAGAGCCUGCCCGUCUCUCCAGAGCGUUCUGUGGCACGGUCUGCUCCUCCAGCUGGGGUGUGGGGGGCUGCCUUAAUGAUCCCCUCUGAGGCUCACAAGCCCUGGCCUGGCUGGACAAUCUCUGGCUCUGCGGCCCUUCAGAUCCCAUCUGAGCUGCCUCCCUCGGUGCGGCCGGCGAACGGCAAGUGCCUGCUGCUGUGUGUCCUUGCCGCGGCCCCGUCCAGACCUUCCCGGGGAGGCCCCCGGUGGUGCCAGGCUACCACACCGUUUUUGGCAUAGGGCACAGCGGGCAGAGAUGGGCCGACCGGGCUGACUUCCAGCUCCGGUACUCAACAGCCGCGGGACACCAGGAAGGCACGGCGCCGCUCUGACCCCAGCUUCCUCGUCGACCCAACAGGACUCGCGUGCGGGUCCGCGAGGGGAGACCAGGGCGCCCGGAACAGGCUGGGGCACGUGGGCAGCUUACCCACCACGAUGGGUGCAGGUGGCUAGGAAAAGGCUGGAUCAGGCCCCGGCUCAGAGAGGCAGCACAGGCAGGCCAGAGCCGCGUGGGGGUGGGCGGGCCAUGCGUGCUGGAGGGGGGAGGCGGUGAUCUGAGGAUAUUACUUUUUAAUGAUGGGAGAGACUUGAGCCUAUGUCAGACAGGUUGGGCAGGAGCCGGGAGCCAGUGACAGAGAGAGAGAGAGAGAGAGAGAGAGAGAGAGAGAGAGAAGGAGACUGGGAGAGAGGAAGACAAGAAACUAGCAGGUGUCCUGUUGGGAACUGGGGUUGCCUCAGUCAGGCUGGAAUCCUGGGCGCGGAGAGGUCUCUAACCACGCCCCCGGGGCUGUGUAAGGUCUGGUGCAGGAAAGGAGGGGAGGCUGAGGCCCUCAGGCACAGGGGCGGGUCCCAGUGGCUGGGGGUGGGGACCCCCAGCACAGGCAGUAGGAGGGGGUGGGCCGAGUGGGGGAGGGGGAGGGCAAGAGCACAGGCCUCAGGAACAGAAUGCUGGCCCCACCACCACGUCCCGGGCACAUUCCGCCGACUGCCACCAGGCAGACCUGAGGGGGCUCCAAGAUGCGCCCCCAGCUGCCUGCUCACUCCGGCCGCCCGCACCCCUCAGAAGGGAGCGUGAGGAGCAAGAUCCCCCGGUAGCCGGACUGGAGGCAUCACCUAGUGUGAUGUGGCCCAGCCGCUAUCACUGGGCCUAGCAGAGAGCAGAAGACGGUCGGCGGGCACUGAGGCCAGGCACGGCUCUGACAGCUUCACGGGCACGAACCCGCUCGGGCCCCACAGCCCCUCCGCGGCGGGGAACCACCCUGCCCGCGUUACAGAGGAGGACACGGAGGCACAGAGGGGCUGAGCCCCACGCCCAGAGUCACACGGUGCGUGACGGGCGGUGCCGGGGUCUGAACCAAAAAGCCAGCCUGCGUUCUUGCUCACGGAUCUGUGACUUUUCCUCAAGGAGCAUUUUGUGACUGUUUCACGAGAGGUUCCCAGACCACCCGGCCCUGGGAGGGGGACGCAUCCCAAAUACCUCCCGAGAGGCUCUUUCCCUCGGCCUGUGCUCCACCUCAGAGGCCAAGGAGACACGUACUGGAACGGGGGCACCUGCUUUUUUUAGGCUGCCCGGAUGUUCAAUUCUGGGAGGCUGCCUGUUUUGGGGGGGGGGUGGGUCUUGGCGUGUCAGCUGAUGGCAGGAGACGGGG